UGGGGAAUAUUGGACAAUGGGGGGAACCCUGAUCCAGCCAUGCCGCGUGUGUGAAGAAGGUCUUCGGAUUGUAAAGCACUUUAAGUUGGGAGGAAGGGCAGUAAGCGAAUACCUUGCUGUUUUGACGUUACCGACAGAAUAAGCACCGGCUAACUCUGUGCCAGCAGCCGCGGUAAUACAGAGGGUGCAAGCGUUAAUCGGAAUUACUGGGCGUAAAGCGCGCGUAGGUGGUUCGUUAAGUUGAAUGUGAAAGCCCCGGGCUCAACCUGGGAACUGCAUCCAAAACUGGCGAGCUAGAGUAGGGCAGAGGGUGGUGGAAUUUCCUGUGUAGCGGUGAAAUGCGUGGAUAUAGGAAGGAACACCAGUGGCGAAGGCGACCACCUGGGCUCAUACUGACACUGAGGUGCGAAAGCGUGGGGAGCAAACAGG
rnacentral:rRNA from 1 species